rnacentral:rRNA from 1 species
GACGAACGCUGGCGGCGUGCCUAAUACAUGCAAGUAGAACGCUGAAGAGAGGAGCUUGCUCUUCUUGGAUGAGUUGCGAACGGGUGAGUAACGCGUAGGUAACCUGCCUUGUAGCGGGGGAUAACUAUUGGAAACGAUAGCUAAUACCGCAUAACAAUGGAUGACACAUGUCAUUUAUUUGAAAGGGGCAAUUGCUCCACUACAAGAUGGACCUGCGUUGUAUUAGCUAGUAGGUGAGGUAAUGGCUCACCUAGGCGACGAUACAUAGCCGACCUGAGAGGGUGAUCGGCCACACUGGGACUGAGAAACGGCCCAGACUCCUACGGGAGGCAGCAGUAGGGAAUCUUCGGCAAUGGGGGCAACCCUGACCGAGCAACGCCGCGUGAGUGAAGAAGGUUUUCGGAUCGUAAAGCUCUGUUGUAAGUCAAGAACGGGUGUGAGAGUGGAAAGUUCACACUGUGACGGUAGCUUACCAGAAAGGGACGGCUAACUACGUG